UACGGGGGGGGCAAGCGUUGUUCGGGUUCACUGGGCUUAAAGGGCGCGUAGGCGGGUGAUCAAGUCCGGGGUGAAAUCCUUCAGCUCAACUGGAGAAUAGCCUUGGAUACUGGUCGCCUCGAGGGAGGUAGGGGCGGGCGGAACUUCCGGUGGAGCGGUGAAAUGCGUAGAUAUCGGAAGGAACGCCGGUGGCGAAAGCGGCCCGCUGGACCUCUUCUGACGCUGAGGCGCGAAAGCCAGGGGAGCGAACGGG
rnacentral:rRNA from 1 species